AGAGUUUGAUCCUGGCUCAGAUUGAACGCUGGCGGCAGGCUUAACACAUGCAAGUCGAGCGGUAACAGGGGGUGCUUGCACCCCGCUGACGAGCGGCGGACGGGUGAGUAAUGCAUAGGAAACUGCCCAGUAGUGGGGGAUAGCCCGGGGAAACCCGGAUUAAUACCGCGUACGCCCUUCGGGGGAAAGCAGGGGAUCUUCGGACCUUGCGCUAUUGGAUGUGCCUAUGUCGGAUUAGCUAGUUGGUGGGGUAAAGGCCUACCAAGGCGACGAUCCGUAGCUGGUCUGAGAGGAUGAUCAGCCACAUCGGGACUGAGACACGGCCCGAACUCCUACGGGAGGCAGCAGUGGGGAAUAUUGGACAAUGGGGGCAACCCUGAUCCAGCCAUGCCGCGUGUGUGAAGAAGGCUUUCGGGUUGUAAAGCACUUUCAGUGAGGAGGAAAAGUUGGUCGUUAAUACCGGCCAGCCUUGACGUUACUCACAGAAGAAGCACCGGCUAACUCCGUGCCAGCAGCCGCGGUAAUACGGAGGGUGCAAGCGUUAAUCGGAAUUACUGGGCGUGCGCGCGUAGGUGGUUUGAUAAGCGAGAUGUGAAAGCCCCGGGCUUAACCUGGGAACGGCAUUUCGAACUGUCAGGCUAGAGUAUGGUAGAGGAGUGUGGAAUUUCCUGUGUAGCGGUGAAAUGCGUAGAUAUAGGGAAGGAACACCAGUGGCGAAGGCGGCACUCUGGACC
rnacentral:rRNA from 1 species